UACGGGGGGGGCAAGCGUUGUUCGGAAUUACUGGGCGUAAAGGGUCUGUAGGUGGCCCGCUAAGUCACACGUGAAAUCCCUCGGCUUAACCGGGGAACUGCGUCUGAGACUGAAGAGCUUGAAUCCGGGAGAGGGAUGCGGAAUUCCAGGUGUAGCGGUGAAAUGCGUAGAUAUCUGGAGGAACACCGGUGGCGAAGGCGGCAUCCUGGAC
rnacentral:rRNA from 1 species